rnacentral:rRNA from 1 species
GAUGAACGUUGGCGGCGUGCCUAAUACAUGCAAGUCGAGCGGUAAGGCCCUUCGGGGUACACGAGCGGCGGACGGCAGAGUAACACGUAGGAACGUACCCCAAAGUGAGGGAUAGCCCACCGAAAGGUGGAUUAAUACCGCAUGUGGUCCUCGGAUUAAAGCAGCAAUGCGCUUUGGGAACGGCCUGCGUAAGAUUAGCUAGUUGGUGAGGUAACGGCUCACCAAGGCGACGAUCUUUAGCUGGUCUGAGAGGAUGAUCAGCCUGACUGGGACUGAGACACGGCCCAGACUCCUACGGGAGGCAGCAGUAGGGAAUUUUCCACAAUGGGCGAAAGCCUGAUGGAGCAACGCCGCGUGCAGGAUGAAGGCCUUCGGGUUGUAAACUGCUUUUGUCUGAGAAGAAUAUGACGGUAACAGACGAAUAAGGGUCUGCUAACUACGUGCCAGCAGCCGCGGUAA